UGAUUGGACUGGUCGCCUGCGAAUCACUUC
rnacentral:piRNA from 1 species